GUCGCUUUGACUUUUUUGGUACAU
rnacentral:miRNA from 1 species